CUUUUGUAUAACCCUAACUACAGUCUUCUUUGGAGCCAUAUGACAGACGUAUACAGCUGAAAUGGAAUUUCCCUUCAACCGUACAAUAUUUCAGGGCUUAUAUUUCAGGAAUCGGUGUUCGCCCAACGUAGCAGUUGCAGAAAAAGGACAACAACAAGUGGCACUAUUCAUGUAUUCCUCCAAAGUGCUCAUGCCAAUCAUGCCAUAGCUGAACUUUCCUGAAAGACUGAGUCAAUGAAAACUCUAAGACUUCAACAUAUGUGCAGCGUUUCAACCGAGAGUCAACACCCUCCAUUGUAGUGUUCGGCAGGCUUUUCAAUUGGAGUUUGGGCUGAUUUCAAUCGUAAUAA